rnacentral:rRNA from 1 species
AUAACUUAUGAUGGGAGAGCAAAUCCGCCGAAUUUAAGCAUAUAAUUAAGCGGAAGAAAAGAAAAUAACAAUGAUUCCCUAAGUAACGGCGAGUGAACAGGGAAAAGCUCAAAAAGGAAAAUCCUAUUCAUGGCGCAAGUCAUGUUAUGGAAUUGUCUGGUUGGAGUUUCGUCCUUUUCUAUAUUUAUGUUGGAUUGCGAAAUGAGUAGGAAUACUAUUCCUUAGAGGGUGAAAGACCCGUAGCCCCCCACAAUUGUAGAAAAUGAUGAUUCUCUGUAGAGUCGUGUUCUUUGAGAUUGGAGCACAAAUAUGUGUGAUACAUUUCACAUAAAGCUAAAUAUUUGUAGGAAACCGAUAGUAUACAAGUACCGUGAGGGAAAGAUGAAAUAGUACUCAGGAAUGAGGUUUAAAUAGUACCUGAAAUCGUUAAGAUGGAACGGAUUAAGAGAGAAAUAACGUAAGAUGGGAUUAAUUAUUAGCUCUUUAGGGAGCGUUUUUUAAUUCCUAUUUUAUUAAAAGAAGCAUCAGUGAAUGUUGAAUAAUUAAAAUAUAGUUAAGUAUUCUUUACAAAUAUAAAUAUGUGCGUAAAAAUGCCGUAUCACUUCCGCUAAAUUGGUUGGAUAACGAGCUAUUUUUGAUUAUUCUGUUUACUGAGGUUUAUUAAAAUCAUUGUGGCCUUUGUCCCUAUUGAUUUAAGUUGCUUCUAAAAAGCACUUUCUUAACCCACUCGUCUUGAAACACGGACCAAGGAGUCUAACAAAUGUGCGAGCGUAUAUAUGUUUUUAACUAUAAUAAAAGAAUGAAAAUUCUUUAAUAUUUACGCGUAAUUAAUGUAAUAUAUUAAACUUACAUUGUAGAAUGUACUGAAAUUGAAUAAUAUUUAUUUUUCAUUUGAAGUAUAUGCAUACAAUACCGGUUAGCAAAUAUGCUAAAUUGAGUAAGAGUAUAUUUGUUAGGACCCGAGAGGCUUUGAACUAAGCGUGGUGAGAUUGAAGUCAGACGAAAGUCUGAUGGAGGAUCGAAUUGAUACUGAC